UUUUUUUCUUAGCCACAAAGAUCAGUCCUUUCAACUAGUCAUGUGAAGCGUACGAUGAUCCGUUUACAGGGAGAAUCUAAACAGAGGACUCUAUGGUGAUCAAAGGGAGAUGUCUGGGUUCGUGGGUGUUGUCGUUUCGGAUCCAUGGUUACAGAGUCAGUUCACACGAGUCAAGCUUCGUACUCUCAAUUCCGAGUUUGUAUCGUUGAAGAAUUCAAGUGGAAACAUAACCAUAGAAGAUCUCCCUUCUCUAUUGUCAAAGUUAAAGUCAAUUAGUGCAACGUUUAAGGAGGACGAAAUCAGACAGAUACUGCAAGAACAUGCUUCUGAUAAUACAAGCAGUGAUGUGGGUUUUGAAGAGUUUCUCAAGGUAAUAUGGAGUUUCUUGGUGAACCAAGUUUCACAUUGACUAUGAAUGUUGUUAAUAUUGAGACACAGGACCUGGCUGAAGGACGGGAGGAGAUGCUUCUCACGAAAACAAGCCUUCUAAUGGGAAAAUAUCAGGUGAUUCCGCUACUCCAAAGCCGUUUGGUCUUAACACAGAUUGGAGAGAGUUCAGAGCAAACUUGUUUAUGAAAGAGCAGGUGAUAUCUUGAUACUUGAGGUUUGGCAUCAUCAACACAUUCUUGGGAAGUUAUGUUUAUGUAUGAGUCAAAUGUUAAUGGGAUUUUUGUGAUAAUUAAAAGAUGAAUUUUUGCAUUGGACCACAUAAAUGUUUGGAUUUCUUAAUGUUAUCUCUUAACUCACAUUUACUA